GACGAACGCUGGCGGCGUGCCUAAUACAUGCAAGUUGAGCGCUGAAGGUUGGUACUUGUACCAACUGGAUGAGCAGCGAACGGGUGAGUAACGCGUGGGGAAUCUGCCUUUGAGCGGGGGACAACAUUUGGAAACGAAUGCUAAUACCGCAUAAAAACUUUAAACACAAGUUUUAAGUUUGAAAGAUGCAAUUGCAUCACUCAAAGAUGAUCCCGCGUUGUAUUAGCUAGUUGGUGAGGUAAAGGCUCACCAAGGCGAUGAUACAUAGCCGACCUGAGAGGGUGAUCGGCCACAUUGGGACUGAGACACGGCCCAAACUCCUACGGGAGGCAGCAGUAGGGAAUCUUCGGCAAUGGACGAAAGUCUGACCGAGCAACGCCGCGUGAGUGAAGAAGGUUUUCGGAUCGUAAAACUCUGUUGGUAGAGAAGAACGUUGGUGAGAGUGGAAAGCUCAUCAUGUGACGGUAACUACCCAGAAAGGGACGGCUAACUACGUG
rnacentral:rRNA from 1 species